CAGCCACCUAGGCUAAAUUAGCAAAAGCAUCACCAGCAGGUCGAGGGAGGUCAUUCUUCCUGUCUACUCAGCACUGCUUAGAACACUGCUUGCCCUUCAGGACAGUAUCUAGUUCUUUUAAAAUGCAUGCUUCAGUGGAAAAAAAAAAUCCAGUAAAAAAUUACCAUCCAGUGUGUGCAGAUGAAAAUGAGUUAAACCUAUCUGCAAAGCAGACAGAUUUAUACUGAGAAGAGGAAAACACUAGGAAUAUUAAGAAGAUGCUGCAGCACACCUCAAAGAUGAGGUCUGAGCUGUCACUAGCCAGCAAUACAUCAUCUGAAACAGGAGAGUACAUUGCUGUAUAUUCAUCAAGUUUACUUCCUGUAUCUCCUUGAAUGAAAAGACAGCUCCACUCAGACACAGACUUCCCUCUGCAAAGGUGACUUACACUCAACCCUGUAGAACUACCAAUGGA